AUAACUUCUGAGAUAGAUGGAAAAGAGAUUAUUUUUGAAUUCAUCUCUUUACCAAUAGAAAGGGAACUAGAUGUGCUUAAAAGCAACAUUGAGAGAAAAGAAAAAUUUAUUUAUUCUCUUAAAAGGGAAGUUAAUUAUAGAACAAUUCAAGAAAAGGUUAAUGAGCCUUUAAUUCAAGAAAGAAUAAAACAGCUGCAAAAC
rnacentral:misc_RNA from 1 species